rnacentral:rRNA from 1 species
AUAUCCUACGGGACGCAGCAGUAGGGAAUCUUCCACAAUGGACGAAAGUCUGAUGGAGCAACGCCGCGUGAGUGAAGAAGGGUUUCGGCUCGUAAAGCUCUGUUGGUAGUGAAGAAAGAUAGAGGUAGUAACUGGCCUUUAUUUGACGGUAAUUACUUAGAAAGUCACGGCUAACUACGUGCCAGCAGCCGCGGUAAUACGUAGGUGGCAAGCGUUGUCCGGAUUUAUUGGGCGUAAAGCGAGUGGAGGCGGGUCAAUAAAACU